AGACGUAGGGGGCGAGCGUUACCCGGAAUCACUGGGCGUAAAGGGCGUGUAGGCGGCCGGGUGGGCCCUGGGUGAAAGCCACCGGCUCAACCGGUGGAGGGCUCAGGGGACUGCCCGGCUAGAGGGCGGGAGAGGGAGGUGGAAUUCCCGGUGUAGCGGUGAAAUGCGUAGAGAUCGGGAGGAACACCGGUGGCGAAGGCGGCCUCCUGGCCCGGCCCUGACGCUGAGGCGCGAAAGCGUGGGGAGCAAAGGGGAUUAGAAACCCUAGUAGUCC
rnacentral:rRNA from 1 species